rnacentral:rRNA from 1 species
UACGUAGGUGGCGAGCGUUAUCCGGAAUUAUUGGGCGUAAAGCGCGCGCAGGUGGUUUCUUAAGUCUGAUGUGAAAGCCCACGGCUCAACCGUGGAGGGUCAUUGGAAACUGGGAGACUUGAGUGCAGAAGAGGAAAGUGGAAUUCCAUGUGUAGCGGUGAAAUGCGUAGAGAUAUGGAGGAACUCCAGUGGCGAAGGCGACUUUCUGGUCUGUAACUGACACUGAGGCGCGAAAGCGUGGGGAGCAAACAGG